GCCGGCCGCGCCGGGAACGGCGGGGGCGGGGCCGCUGGUGUGAGCAGGCCCGGCCGGCGCGGGGCCGCGCAGCCAUGUCGGAGGGGACGGCGGGAAUGGCGGCACCGGCGGCGAUGGCGGAGGCGCGGCUGCGGCGGAAGCAGCUGCUGAGCGCGGAGGAGGCGGAGCUGUUCGAACUGGCGCAGGCGGCGGGCAGUGGGCUGGACCCGGAGGUGUUCCGGGUGCUGCUGGACCUGCUGCGCAUGAACGUGGCGCCGCUCGCCGUGUUCCAGGUGCUGAAGUCGAUGUGCGCCGGGCAGCGGCUCCCGCCGGCGGCCGAGAGCGGCCCCGCCGCGCCGGCGCCGAUCCCCGCCGACGGCCGAGGGACACAUUCCACUAUCCCAGGUUGCUCCAAGCUCCAUUCAGCCUGGCCUUGGACACUUCCAGGGAUGGGGCAGCUACAGCCAGUCUGUUCCAGGGCCUCACCACGCUCAUAGAGAAGAAUUUCUUUCCAAUACCUGAUUUAAACUUACCAUCCUUCAACUUGAAAAAGAAUCACUUGUCUUUCACUGAGCUUUCUCAUUCUGGGCACAGUCCCAAGUCCAUCCUUCAGGAGUUGGGUAAGUGUCAAUAGGGUGUCUGGGGUGGCCUCUGGCUGGAUCUGUUCUGCAGGACUGUUGGGUUUGCCUUGCCUUGCCUUGCCUCCUUUCCCUUUAGGAGCUGCUGUAAAGAGGGGGAGCCAAAGUGCUGCCUGCUGUUUGCUCUGCAAUCUCUUGUUGGAAGAUGCUGCUUCCAUUUAAGAAAAGGAUGGUGCAGCUUCCAUGCAGGACCAGCCAUUUGCUAGGGGAGAUGCCUCUUCUGCAUUGCUGGGACUUGUUUGUGUGGUUACAGCCCAAGCUCUGUGCUUGUGACAAGAGCAGCGAUUGUCCUGCGCAAGCUUCUCCAGCUGCUUGGUGCCUUUCAGCUCAGCCCCGCGCUCAGGAGGCAGACAAGUGGCUCAGGCAAUCCUGGUCUCACCCAAGCCUGCUCUGCUCCACUUGUAUCAGUCUUGAGAUCUGGCUUAGGCUUCCCAGCACAUCAUGGUGCAGGGAGGCUUUUGGAAACAGCUAAAAUAAAGCUGAUGCAGCAGUUCUGAUCAGCACUAUUGCUGGUGGGGGAUGCCCUGUAGUGAUUUCAGCAUUUGUGCUGAUGAAGCAUCAGGGAGUUCUGUUCCCACAGAACACAGCCAUGGCCUUCUAUGUUGGCUGGUAACUGAGUCCAUGACAGCUGCCUGCAAAUUGCUGUGUGUGGGUAUUGCAGCAUCCAUCUGGCAUAUUUAGCUGGAUGCAGAUUAAUUCAAACUACAUUCAAAAUGCUCCCUCAGCAUUUCAUUUGGGAGGGAAAGUGCUGGAUUGAAACAGAUAUCAUUUCCCAGGUGUCCAUUCUGUGUGUGUGAGGGGGAGGAUUCUGUUAAGGACAGUGGUGUUGAGUUUGGCCUAGACUAGACAUCUGUGUAAUUAAGUAUCCCAUUUUCUCACAUAUUUCUGUGCCUUCUGUUUCCAUCAGUCAACCCUCAAGUCCCUGCUGGUUCCCCUGCAGUUUUCUACCUCUCUAUACACAUGGAUAUAUCAGUGCCCUGCUCUUUUUUUAGGCUGAUGAAUAGUCUUUGAUGCUUCUCUCACUCUUUGCACUCCAACCUCUUUUUUCAUAUUCCCCACUUCCCCAGAAAGAGUUUCUUCCCAUAAAAUUACUUCCCAAAGCUUUGCCCCAGCUAAUUUCUCCUUCUGAAUGUGUUGUUAACAUGAGCUUGCUUUUCAAAACCUGUCUCUUUUGUGGGGCUAUCACUUGGUGUGUGUAUUUUAGGGCUGCAAGGAGCUAAUUGGCACAGGAAGAAAGGAGUUGUGCAUAGCAGGGGUCAGGGAAUGUUGUCAUGCCCAGGGAAACUCUCACAAACUCCAGUGCCUGUUGGAAAAAACACUGAGCCCAUCACCAGCCAUGGGCUCUGUCAGAGGUUCACAUGUGUAACUGAGAGAAGCACAAACCAUGUCUGUCCCUGCACACUUCAGAAGCUGUCCUUGUCUGGUACAUGGGUCUGCACAGGCUGCUUCCAAAAAUAUUCUGGGGAGAAAUAAAACCAGCUCUGCUGUCAGUGGGUCACAGAUUCUGGCCGAAAGAAGCAGCCGGGAAGGAUCUGCCCAGAGGAUGCCCCGACAGCCGAGCGCGAGCCGCGUGCAGAAGGCAGGAACCUC